GACGAACGCUGGCGGCGUGCUUAACACAUGCAAGUCGAACGGAAAGGCCCUGCUUUUGUGGGGUGCUCGAGUGGCGAACGGGUGAGUAACACGUGAGUAACCUGCCCUUGACUUUGGGAUAACUUCAGGAAACUGGGGCUAAUACCGGAUAGGAGCUCCUGCUGCAUGGUGGGGGUUGGAAAGUUUCGGCGGUUGGGGAUGGACUCGCGGCUUAUCAGCUUGUUGGGGGGGUAGGGGCUUACCAAGGCUUUGACGGGUAGCCGGCCUGAGAGGGUGACCGGCCACAUUGGGACUGAGAUACGGACCAGACUCCUACGGGAGGCAGCAGUGGGGAGUAUUGCACAGUGGGCGGAAGCCUGAUGCAGCAACGCCGCGUGCGUGAUGACGGCCUUCGGGUUGUAAACCACUUUGGCAUGUGACGAGGCGUGCGUGACGGUAAUGGGUCAAGAAGCACCGGCUAACUACGUG
rnacentral:rRNA from 1 species